UACGAAGGGGGCUAGCGCUGUUCGGAAUUACUGGGCGUAAAGGGCGCGUAGGCGGAUAGUUCAGUUGGGGGUGAAAGCCCGGGGCUCAACCUCGGAACUGCCUUCAAUACUGGCUAUCUUGAGUACGGGAGAGGUGUGUGGAACUCCGAGUGUAGAGGUGAAAUUCGUAGAUAUGCGGAAGAACACCAGUGGCGAAGGCGACACACUGG
rnacentral:rRNA from 1 species